rnacentral:rRNA from 1 species
AUUGAACGCUGGCGGCAGGCUUAACACAUGCAAGUCGAACGGAGUGGCGGAAGGGUGAGUAAUGCUUGGGAAUCUGGCUUAUGGAGGGGGAUAACGACGGGAAACUGUCGCUAAUACCGCGUACCAUAGGAUGAGGCCAAGUGGGAUUAGGUAGUUGGUGGGGUAAUGGCCUACCAAGCCGACGAUCUCUAGCUGGUCUGAGAGGAGGACCGGCCAAACCGGGACUGAGAUACGGCCCGGACUCCGACGGGAGGCAGCAGUGGGGAAUAUUGGACAAUGGGCGAAAGCCUGAUCCAGCAAUGCCGCGUGUGUGAAGAAGGUCUUCGGAUUGUAAAGCACUUUAAGUUGGGAGGCGUUACCAACAGAAUAAGCACCGGCUAACUUCGUGCCAGCAGCCGCGGUAAUUC